UCCCUGGUAGAAUAGUGGCUAGCAUGUGGUGCUCUCAUUGCGCGGUCACGGUUCGAAUCCCGGUCAGGGAA